rnacentral:rRNA from 1 species
AGUGAACGCUGGCGGUAGGCCUAACACAUGCAAGUCGAACGGCAGCACAGUAAGAGCUUGCUCUUACGGGUGGCGAGUGGCGGACGGGUGAGGAAUACAUCGGAAUCUACUUUUUCGUGGGGGAUAACGUAGGGAAACUUACGCUAAUACCGCAUACGACCUACGGGUGAAAGCAGGGGAUCUUCGGACCUUGCGCAAUUGAAUGAGCCGAUGUCGGAUUAGCUAGUUGGCGGGGUAAAGGCCCACCAAGGCGACGAUCCGUAGCUGGUCUGAGAGGAUGAUCAGCCACACUGGAACUGAGACACGGUCCAGACUCCUACGGGAGGCAGCAGUGGGGAAUAUUGGACAAUGGGCGCAAGCCUGAUCCAGCCAUACCGCGUGGGUGAAGAAGGCCUUCGGGUUGUAAAGCCCUUUUGUUGGGAAAGAAAAGCGGCAGGUUAAUACCCCGCUGUUCUGACGGUACCCAAAGAAUAAGCACCGGCUAACUUCGUG